rnacentral:lncRNA from 1 species
GAGCUCUGUGCUGGAUGAGAAAUAGUCUUUACCUUCUCAGUGAGGGACUGUGCAGCUGUCUGACGCCACUCCAGGAAGCCGGAACCUGUAAUACCUGAUUACAUCGGAGUGCUCCGAUCAGAGAUUAACGGAGGGAAUAACACAAAAGAAGAAGAUGGCAGAAUGCAAGAAAGAAAAAGAUGAAAGCGAUUACAUAAAUAAUGGAGCGGAUGGAGAUGCCGAAAGUGUUGCAGAAGCCACAAAUGAACCUGGAGUUGUGAAAGGACCAGGGCAAGAAAAUAAGUUAUUAGUCAGUACAAAAGAAGAAGAAAUAGAAGAGCUAACAUCUGGUGUGGGAUACAUUUCAUUGACUGAUAAUCCUCAACCUUCACUGAUAAGACGUGGUUUAGAGCCAAUAGACGUUGAAAACUUGCUGAUCUCAAAAGUGAAAAGCUUAAUCUCAGACAAACCAAAUAAAACAGUUAUAAAAUAUAUAAAAAAAACACACAGUUGUACGAGAAAAUUUUACAGGCCGCAAAGGCAAACUUGAUAAAAGAAGGUUUGCUAAUAAAUUCAUGUGUUGGAGAAAUAUAAUUCCUAACGAAUCGGACAGACCGGACAAAGUAAAAACCGACGCAUCAAACCAAGCCCAUGAGUUAUUUUUUCAGUCAUUAAAGGCCUUGCAAUUGUUGGACCUACCAGCAAACACCACUGUGCAUGAAGGAAAUUUGAUGAAAAACGGCAUCAUGAUUACACCAGCAGAAUUUUGUAAGGUUGUCGAUGACAUAACCAAAAAGUUUAGGAGAAAGUAUUCGAGAGAUUGGCUAUUGGGAGAAAAAAUCCACAUGGAAGCUAUCCAUCAAUCAUGUGAAGACAUAUGCAUGCAUAGAUUUGUUAGGGAUAUGACUAUUUCAAAUGAUAUGCUGAAUUUGAAAACCUAUGCAGAUUGGAGAUCACGAGUGUUGGAGUAUUCUUGUUUUGCUGCCUUCUUGUAUGUGUAUUUAGAGAAAACAAAGGGCCAUGUCAAGAAAUAGACCGAUAGUCAUUUACCGAGGAAAUAUAUAAGAAAAUAAGAUACAGUGUUGAAAAAAGACAUCAAAUGAAAAAGAAAAUAAUUAUGCUUCAAUUUGAAUUGUUUAUUCAUUCGUGUCUUCAUGUCUUUUCAUAAGCAUUGCAAAAAAAUUAUUUUUAUGUUAUUAUCAUUUAUUUUUAAUUUGUGUGCAAAAAUGUAAAAUUUCUAUGUCUCCUUGUGGACAGAGGGUCCCUCGUAACUCGCAGUUUCAGAAUCUAAAGGAGUAUUGGUUACUCCGUUGAUCGUAUCCCAAAAUUAAAAUAAUGUAACGUCAUUGGUUAAAUUGUCAUUGAAAAGUUGCAAGCCAACCACAACGUUAAUUAGUUAUAGUGUACAAUUUGAAAAUAUUACCGAAAAUGCUUUUUUAAAAUGGAGAAGUUUACUUUCAUGAGAAAAUGUGUUAAUCAAUUAAUGACGAUAAAAAUUCGUCUCAUCUUACCUUCAGGAUGAGUAGUCAAGAAUAUAUACAAAAUAUUAAUUAAGAAUUAAUGGUACUAUGAUAUUGUAGGCAUUCAUAGAUUACCAUGUUCAUCCUCACCUAGGCCUGUUGUUGUGAAAUUUUUUAACAAUGAUAUAAAAACGAUGGUUAUGAAAAACAAGAAAAUAUUACGUCGAGCUGGGAUAAGAAUAAUACAUGACAUUACAAGGCCCAAUAUAAAUAUCAUGGACGCAGUAGGAAACAAUGAAAACAUUGAGUACAGUUGGUUCUUCAAUUGCCAAGUGUAUGGACUUUGCAAUGUGACCAAAAGACGAAUGAAAUUUUGACUAAAAGACAACAUCAAGGACAUUUUGUCACAACACAUUCAGGAUGUGAAUGAGUAGCAAACAAACACUGGAAACUAACUGAAAAUAUUUACUGUGGUAUAACUGCACAGGGUGAUUGGGAUGGACCUCUGAACUGUCUAUUAGACCCAAUUAUCCAGUGGUAAAUAUAUUUGAAGUGUAAAUAUAGUGUUUGGUUCUGUUUCUGUGUAUGGAUAUAAUGACAUAAACCCCUCUCAUGGUAAGUGCUUCAACUACAUGUGUAUAUCUAUGUUUUUCAUAAACUGGAUUGCUACUUAUUUCUAACUUCCACAAGACUUUCAGUUUUGACACUCAUUGCUAGAAACGAGUUGAAACGGAUACUAAAAACUAUGAAAUUCCCUUGGUACAAAGAUCUAAUAUGUAAAGAAAUUAAUAUGUUAUACUACCAAAGCACUUUUCACAUGUAUGUAUGGAUUACUUCCCCUUGCUGAUAUGACAUGAACCUGCCUGCAUAUAUCAAGCUUGAUCAGAGUUUGUGUUUUGAUGAGAGUCCAAUACAAAUGUGAAGGAUUCAGUUUAAGUAGUGUAUAAAUCAGAAAGAUUUUACAAAGCAAGGGAAUAUCCAAAUUUACAAGCUUAACUAUUGAGCAUGAUUUAAAAAAAUAGUCCAUUCAAAUUUUGUAUGGGGAAAUAAACCUCAUGUUUAGUGAAAAUAUCCAACAUACAUAAAAGGGUGCAUUGUAAUAGUAAUGACUUUAUGGUCAAUUAAUAUAUCACAUAUCACAUGCUAUAUAUAUUUUCAUAUAUAUUCAUAGUAUCAUUACCCUAAUAUCUUUUAAUUGUAUUGUUAAGCAAUUAUGAUCAGUGCUUUCUAUAUUUAGGAUAUACUGUAAAUGAUGCACAAGGUUUUGAGUUCAAUGUUAUGGAAAAUAAGAUAUCACCAAUAUCCAAAUAUUUACAAAAGGGAGAUAAUCGUGUGGUUAAUUGGAAGGGGAGAUAAUCUUGUUCAUUGUGCAAGUUUUUGUGAAACAAUUUGAAAAUUACAAUCAAUGUUUUUAGGUUGACGAUAAUAAAAAUUGAAGGUAUUUGAAAUGUGUUAAAUAUACAUGAUCCACAUGGUUUUGAGUUCAAUGUUAUGUAAUGCCCUAGGUAUCCGAGGAAGAAAUAUCAUAAUUGAAACUCUACUCAAAGCUGAUAAGUUUAAGGUAUGUGUACUAAUUUUGUUUAUAUACUAUUGUUAAAUACUGUAAUUUAGAUAAUAACACUGAAAUUUGUUUUUCCUCAUUGAAAUAUUGAAAAGUCACAUAAUUUUGUAAAUGAGGCAUCCGUAAUAAUCCGUAGUAUUAAAUUAAGGGAGAAAUCGAUGUGGAAAAUUCAGGAAAUUUGAAGGGGAGAUAAUCUUGUACUUUGUCCAUUUUUUUUUGGGAUACUAUUGGAAAAUUACAACCAAUGUUGUUUGAUUCAUUAUCAUCUAAUAGAUCAUUAUACAGGACAUCCACCAUGGCAAGCUGGUAAGACAAAUAAUUAAAUAAAACAAGGACACCAAAUCUGAAUUGAAUAUGGCCGUUUAUUACAAUAAACGACGGUUGUUAUGACGUUCACAUUUUGUCAUAUAAAUAGCCCCAAAAAGUCUUAGAUGGGGGUCCUAUUCCGCCAUACACAAUAUAAUUGAUGCAAUAUUAAUGCUAGUUGUAAUACAUAAUUUUUACACACAAAUACAUGAUAUAACAUCGAUACAUUACUUAACAAUCGCAUAAGAAAAUGUUGUCCACCAAUACAUAAAGUUAUGCACAUUCAGAAAAUUCUAACAAGAAAGGAGGAAAGUCGGGGAUGGUGGUGGGUAAA